CAAGGAGGCAGAUCAGGGGCAGAGCCAGCACAAGUCAAACACAGCCCAGGCCAAUCAGCAUCUCCUCAUAGAGAGGAAUGGAAUCAAUGCAUCUCUAUGAGGAAAGUUCAGUGUCUGCAUGCAGAGGGUGAAAACACUGAAUAGCAGUGCUACUUACUCUGCAGCACUACCCAAGGAAGCAGUUUUAGCAGCCAUCUGAGG